rnacentral:rRNA from 1 species
AAGUCGUAACAAGGUUUCCGUAGGUGAACCUGCGGAAGGAUCAUUACUAAAAAACUAUUGAGGUUUUUUUAUAUCCCUUUGUUUACUUACCCUGUUGCUUCCACCGGAGGAACAACUUCCUCUGGUGGCAAGAUUCUAUAAAGAAACCUUUUGUGAAUAAAUGUCUGAUAAAACUCUGAAAAUAGAAAUAAAACUUUCAACAACGGAUCUCUUGGUUCCGGCAUCGAUGAAGAACGCAGCGAAAUGCGAUACGUAAUGUGAAUUGCAGAAUUCAGUGAAUCAUCGAAUCUUUGAACGCACAUUGCGCUCUCUGGUAUUCCGGAGAGCAUGCUUGUUUGAGUAUCAGUAAAACACCCUCAGCUCCUCUCUUGUUUCGACGGAGGGGGGAGUUGGACUUGAGUGAUCCCAACGGCAGUGAUUUUCGAAGAACUGUUGGCGGGUCGCUUGAAAUGCAGGUGCGGCAGGACACAUCUUCUGAGCUAUAAGCAUUACUUAUUUAGUCCCGUUAAACGGAUUAUAUCUAUUGCUGCAGCUAACAUAAAGGUCGAUUGUCCUUGUGCCCGACUGAUGCAGGAAAAUGAAGGCGAGUCUUUUGUAGACGCGUCCUUUGUUCAACUCGAUCUCAAAUCAAGCAAGACUACCCGCUGAACUUAA